UACGGAAGGGGCAAGCGUUGUUCGGAAUCAUUGGGCGUAAAGGGCGCGUAGGUGGUUCUGUAUGUCUACCGUGAAAGCAUACAGCUCAACUGUAUUUUGUCGGUAGAAACUGCAGGACUUGAGGCUGGGAGGGGCUGGUGGAAUUCCCUGUGUAGCGGUGAAAUGCGUAGAGAUGGGGGAGAACACUCGUGGCGAAGGCGGCCAGCUAGACCAGUUCUGACACUGAGGCGCGAAAGCGUGGGGAGCGAACAGG
rnacentral:rRNA from 1 species